rnacentral:rRNA from 1 species
AUUGAACGCUGGCGGCAUGCCUUACACAUGCAAGUCGAGCGGCAGCGCGGGGGCAACCCUGGCGGCGAGCGGCGGACGGGUGAGUAAUGCAUCGGAACGUGUCCUCUUGUGGGGGAUAACCAGUCGAAAGACUGGCUAAUACCGCAUGAGCUCGUAAGAGGAAAGCAGGGGACCCGCAAGGGCCUUGCGCGAGAGGAGCGGCCGAUGCCCGAUUAGCAGUUGGCGGGGUAAAGCCCACCAAGGCGACGAUCGGUAGCUGGUCUGAGAGGACGACCAGCCACACUGGGACUGAGACACGGCCCAGACUCCUACGGGAGGCAGCAGUGGGGAAUUUUGCGCAAUGGGGGAAACCCUGACGCAGCAACGCCGCGUGGAAGAUGAAGGUCUUUGGAUUGUAAACUCCUUUCGAUCGGGACG